UACAGAGGUGGCAAGCGUUGUUCGGAAUUACUGGGCGUAAAGGGCGCGUAGGUGGCCUUCUUAGUCAGACGUGAAAUCCCCGGGCUUAACUACGGGAACUGCGUCUGAUACUGGAAGGCGUGGAGUUCGGGAGAGGAAUGUGGAAGUUCCAGGUGGUAGCGGUGAAAUGCGUAGAUAUCUGGAGGAACGACCGGUGGCGAAGGCGGCAUUCUGGACCGAAACUGACGCUGAGGCGCGAAAAGCGUGGGGAGCAAACAGGG
rnacentral:rRNA from 1 species